AUACGGAAGGUCCGGGCGUUAUCCGGAUUUAUUGGGUUUAAAGGGAGCGCAGGCGGAGAUGCAAGCGUGACGUCAAAUUUCGGGGCUCAACCCCGUCUCGCGUCGCGAACUGCGUCCCUUGGUUGCGGGAAGGGGAGGCGGAACUCGUGGUGUAGCGGUGAAAUGCAUAGAUAUCACGAGGAACUCCGAUCGCGAAGGCAGCCUUCCGGCCCGUCAACGACGCUCAUGCUCGAAGGUGCGGGUAUCAAACAGGAUUAGAUACCCUGGUAGUCCACGCAGUAAACGAUGAUGGCUAACCGCUGGGCUUAUCAGUUCAGUGGCCAAGCGAAAGCGAUAAGCCAUCCACCUGGGGAGUACGACCGCAAGGUUGAAACUCAAAUGAAUUGGCGGGG
rnacentral:rRNA from 1 species